GUAGCUCAGCAGUCUCACGGCCUCCUUUCCUGGAGCCCUGUCUCAAUUCCCAGGGUGCAUCCUUCCAGCUUCCCUUGAGCAGAGCACUACUCGCUCCCUCAGCCGGCGUUUACUGAACCGGAGCCGCCCCCUUUAAACCAAAACAGAGCCGAGGAUACACUCCUGGAAUAUCUCGACAUGCUCAACAUCCCCCUCUCCUCAUGACAGGAUCAACAACGCUGCGGCGGCUGGAGGCGGAUUCGCCCCGUCGCACGCCGGGAGGAGAGGGGGACGAGGGAAGGGGCCACAGGCGACAGUGUCACGUCUUUGAGGUGCGUUGGCCCUGCUUGUGUUGUGGUGCCCUAAGCGUUGUGCCCACAUGCAGCUGUCAUUAGCACGUCUCUGAACGCCAGUGAGUGAGGCUGAACGAGGCCGUGGCGCGUGGGAGCCCGACGCGCCGCCGCUCGCGGGGCCGCGCGUCUCCAGCGGUGCGACGCCUCAGGACAAUGGGACUGCGAGAGGAACAGCACCGAACAACAGCGCAGCGUGACGCCGUUUCCUUCCUCUGACCCACAGCAUUUUUCAGGUGCAGCACAGCAGCAAUUCUCGGCCUUUAAGUCAACACACAAACUCCGACAUGUUCUAAUCUGGACUCGACGGCUGCGUGGAGACGAAGCGGGAGGAAUGGAAAUAAAGAUUUGGGAUAUGAUAGUUUUUUUGUUGACGUUUUGAAUCACAAAAAAGGUUGUGUAGCCAAGAAACGUCAAAACGCUAAUUUUAGAACAACAUUUCUCAGAUACGAAUUUUGAAUUUAAAAUAUAAUUUGACUUUAUUUCGUUUUGUUUGUCACAUGUAUUAAAAAUAAAGAUGAGAAUCAAGAGACUGAAAACGAAUUUGAAAUUAAGAAGCUCAGAGAUAAUUAAGGCCAAUAUUAAUGUUUUCCGUCCACACGUUUCCUUCUUGCUGCACAUUCUAACCUCCCGCCCUUCAUAAUAAAACUAGGCGGCGGAAGCCACUUCUUGACGGAGUCUUGUUUGAGGCUUUUAACCCGCACCUGGAGACGCUGGGUUCAGAUUAAGACGUCGCUCCAGUUUGUGGGGCUGAAGAAGCGUGGAGGCGAACUUUAAAGACGCCCCGCGCUCGUGGAGCGGGUCUUUGCGCAUUCCUUUCCACGUCUUCAAAUCAAGACACGACAUACAAACAAAUCCUGUAAAACGGUGCGUGUUUAGAGAAAGACGGACAGUGGUCGCGAACUGAACCGGGUCAAAGUCCGACUGCGUAACGAAACUUCUCCGAACUCACCUCCUCCUCGAUGGAAACGUUGUUGUUCGGCUCCGCGUCCGCUUUCAGGCUCAUUGUGACGGCGGCUUCGGCUGCUGCGGCGCAAACUAUCAGGUUUUUCUUCGUCGUGUGAUAUUUCCCCCAAGUGCGUCUGAAGCUGCAGUGAAGGUCCUGGUGGCGUCUGAGCUUCAGGACAGAAGAUGUGCCGAGGUGCGCUCGUGCGGACGAUGACGGCGAGGUAUCCGAAGAUAUUAGAGUAGUGUUGCGAGAGAGAAUCAUUCAUAAAAAGGAUGAAAGGGAAAGAAAAGAAACAGAGACACGCACUAAACUAAAGGUGAGAGGGUGGAUUUGUGCUCCGUGUGUGAAGGUGAGAGAUGGGGGGGAAGAAGUGCGCGUAAAAACAGAAAGCCUCUGCGCUCACAUCAAUGCCCUCAGCUGCGGGACAGUGCGGAGGAGGAAGAACAAGUAAACUUUUCUCACUGGAACGCGUCUCUCUCUCCUCCGCUCCGCGAGCGAACCCCCUCCUCCCGCUCGCCCGCCGCCGCCGCCUCCCGCUGGUUUUCAAUUAGGUCAUCAAUUAUGUCGGAGUCCGCUGCGAGCCGUAAUCAGGCGGCAGAUCCGCCUCAGCUGUUGCAGGAGGACCCGAACCCUGCGUUUCUGCGGGACCCGGAAGGCCGGCGGUGAUUUACCGCACAACGCUCAACUUUACGGUUUAGUUCGAGCUGGAGCACAAAUGCACGAAUGUGCCUUGGACUUUCCGGAGGUUAUAAUAAGUAGUUUAAUAUUUAUUUUAGACCAAAUCUUCUACUUACAGGCCUAUUUUGAAUAAAGGUUUAUUUUAUAUUUUAUUUUUCUGUUCGUUGAAUUGAGUCUUUUAUAUAUUAUCAUAUUUUCUGCGAUCAGAUCGCAUGUUUAACCUGCGAAUUAAUUGGCAUUAUCAUUUAAUAAAGCGGAUGAAAAGUGAGCAAAAUAAUAUGUUUUGUUAUUUGUAUUUGGCCUUUGUAUCAAUAUAUAAAAAUAUUCUACAUAAUAUGAUACCAUAAAAAUAAAGCCUAUACAGAGUCACUUUAUCAGAA